rnacentral:rRNA from 1 species
GUCCAGACUCCUACGGGAGGCAGCAGUGGGGGAUAUUGCACAAUGGGGGAAACCCUGAUGCAGCGACGCCGCGUGAGGGAAGACGGCCUUCGGGUUGUAAACCUCUGUCGCAGGGGACGAAGGAAGUGACGGUACCCUGUGAGGAAGCCACGGCUAACUACGUGCCAGCAGCCGCGGUAAUACGUAGGUGGCGAGCGUUGUCCGGAUUUACUGGGUGUAAAGGGAGCGUAGACGGCAUGGCAAGUCAGAUGUGAAAGCCCGGGGCUCAACCCCGGGACUGCAUUUGAAACUGUCAGGCUGGAGUGCAGGAGAGGUAAGUGGAAUUCCUAGUGUAGCGGUGAAAUGCGUAGAUAUUAGGAGGAACACCAGUGGCGAAGGCGGCUUACUGGACUGUAACUGACGUUGAGGCUCGAAAGCGUGGGGAGCAAACAGGAUUAGAUACCCUCGUACG